UAAUACGGAGGGUGCAAGCGUUAUCCGGAUUCACUGGGUUUAAAGGGUGCGUAGGCGGAUAGGUAAGUCAGUGGUGAAAUCUCGGAGCUUAACUCCGAAACUGCCAUUGAUACUAUUUAUCUUGAAUAUUGUGGAGGUUUGCGGAAUAUGUCAUGUAGCGGUGAAAUGCAUAGAUAUGACAUAGAACACCUAUUGCGAAGGCAGCAAGCUACUCAUAUAUUGACGCUGAGGCACGAAAGCGUGGGGAUCAAACAGG
rnacentral:rRNA from 1 species